UUUUUGGCAAUGACCCNAGNCGGUGAGGUACCUUUUAGGAGCCAGCCGCCUAAGGUGGGAUAGAUGAUUGGGGUGAAGUCGUAACAAGGUAGCCGUAUCGGAAGGUGCGGCUGGAUCACCUCCUUUCUAAGGAUAAGGAAACCUGCCAUUUGCGUCUUGUUUAGUUUUGAGAGGUCUUGUGGGGCCUUAGCUCAGCUGGGAGAGCGCCUGCUUUGCACGCAGGAGGUCAGCGGUUCGAUCCCGCUAGGCUCCAUUGAAUCGAAAGAUUCAAAUUGUUCAUUGAAAAUUGAAUAUCUAUAUCAAAUUCCACGAUCUAGAAAUAGAUUGUAGAAAGUAACAAGAAAAUAAACCGAAAACGCUGUGAAUAUUUAAUGAGUUUUCUAGUUUUAAAGAAACUAGGUUAAUAAGGUUAAGUUAAUAAGGGCGCACGGUGGAUGCCUUGGCACUAGAAGCCGAAGAAGGACGUGACUAACGACGAAAUGCUUUGGGGAGCUGUAAGUAAGCGCUGAUCCAGAGAUGUCCGAAUGGGGGAACCCACUAGUUAAUGACUAGUAUCCAUAUCUGUUAAGGAUAUGAGAAGGAAGACGCAGUGAACUGAAACUCAAAAGGUACCAAA
rnacentral:misc_RNA from 1 species